rnacentral:rRNA from 1 species
AGCGAACGUAUGCGGCGGGCUUAACACAUGCAAGUCGAACGAGAAUCCCUUCGGGGAGGAAAGUGGCGCACGGGUGCGUAACACGUGGAUAACCAACCCAUUGGUUUGGGACAACACCGGGAAACUGGUGCUAAUACCAGAUGUGUCGCAGCUGUCUUCAGGCGGUUGCGAGAAAGGCCCGCAAGGGUCGCCAACGGACGGGUCCGCGUCCCAUCAGCUAGUUGGUGAGGUAAUGGCUCACCAAGGCAAAGACGGGUAGCUGGUCUGAGAGGAUGAUCAGCCACACUGGAACUGAGACACGGUCCAGACUCCUACGGGAGGCAGCAGUGGGGAAUAUUGCGCAAUGGGCGAAAGCCUGACGCAGCCACGCCGCGUGAGCGAUGAAGGUCUUCGGAUCGUAAAGCUCUGUGGAGAGGGACGAAAACCCUGGUUUCAAAUAGGCUCCAGGCUUGACGGUACCUCUUUAGCAAGCACCGGCUAACUCUGUGCCAGCAG